rnacentral:rRNA from 1 species
UACGGAGGGUGCAAGCGUUGUCCGGAUUUAUUGGGUUUAAAGGGUGCGUAGGCGGCUAUUUAAGUCAGUGGUGAAAUCCUGCAGCUUAACUGUAGAAUUGCCAUUGAUACUGGAUAGCUUGAGUACAGACGAGGUAGGCGGAAUUUAUGGUGUAGCGGUGAGAUGCAUAGAUACCAUAAAGAACACCUAUUGCGAAGGCAGCUUACUAGGCUGUAACUGACGCUGAGGCACGAAAGUGUGGGGAUCAAACAGG